rnacentral:rRNA from 1 species
AGCGAACGCUGGCGGCAGGCCUAACACAUGCAAGUCGAACGAACCUUUCGGGGUUAGUGGCGGACGGGUGAGUAACACGUGGGAACGUGCCUUUAGGUUCGGAAUAACUCAGGGAAACUUGUGCUAAUACCGAAUGUGCCCUUCGGGGGAAAGAUUAAUCGCCUUUAGAGCGGCCCGCGUCUGAUUAGCUAGUUGGUUGAGGUAAUGGCUCACCAAGGCGACGAUCAGUAGCUGGUCUGAGAGGAUGAUCAGCCACAUUGGGACUGAGACACGGCCCAAACUCCUACGGGAGGCAGCAGUGGGGAAUCUUGCGCAAUGGGCGAAAGCCUGACGCAGCCAUGCCGCGUGAAUGAUGAAGGUCUUAGGAUUGUAAAAUUAUUUCACCGGGGACGAUAAUGACGGUACCCGGAGAAGAAGCCCCGGCUAACUUCGUG